rnacentral:rRNA from 2 species
UCGAACGAACUCUGGUAUUGAUUGGUGCUUGCAUCAUGAUUUACAUUUGAGUGAGUGGCGAACUGGUGAGUAACACGUGGGAAACCUGCCCAGAAGCGGGGGAUAACACCUGGAAACAGAUGCUAAUACCGCAUAACAACUUGGACCGCAUGGUCCGAGYUUGAAAGAUGGCUUCGGCUAUCACUUUUGGAUGGUCCCGCGGCGUAUUAGCUAGAUGGUGGGGUAACGGCUCACCAUGGCAAUGAUACGUAGCCGACCUGAGAGGGUAAUCGGCCACAUUGGGACUGAGACACGGCCCAAACUCCUACGGGAGGCAGCAGUAGGGAAUCUUCCACAAUGGACGAAAGUCUGAUGGAGCAACGCCGCGUGAGUGAAGAAGGGUUUCGGCUCGUAAAACUCUGUUGUUAAAGAAGAACAUAUCUGAGAGUAACUGUUCAGGUAUUGACGGUAUUUAACCAGAAAGCCACGGCUAACUACGUGCCAGCMGCCGCGGUAAUWCGGUCAUAG